rnacentral:lncRNA from 1 species
AUAUAAUAAACUAUAUUUAAUCUAAUACUAAUAUUAGAGAAAAUAUAAUUAAAGGUAAAAGAAAUAAUAGGGUAUUAUUUCUUGGGAAAAGAUGGAUUAUUUAGAAGUGGUGUUGGCUCAUUACAUGGAGAACAAUAAAGCUAGAGGACGUCCUCAUGUUGUUAAAGAGAUAUAUGUGAAAAUAAAGAUACAAAAUUAAUAGAAGAGAAUGUUGGAGAAUUUCUUGGAAAAGUCCCAAAACUUAUAAACCAUAAAAGUAAAAAUUAAUGGAUUAGAUGACAUCAAAAUGAAAGACUCCAGGUCAACUGACAAAGGCUAAUAUUUACCAAGAAAAAUUUUAAGUAUAUUCAUUUCUCUAAUCUUCCUAACACUCCCAUGAGGUUGGAGUCGUGGUUACCCUGUUUUACAGAGAGAAAGCAGGCACAGAUCAGUAAGUAACGUGUCCUGGGUCCCAUCAGGAGUGGCGGUCGGCCUGAGAGCCCUGUGCUCCACCACUACACUGUGUCAACUCUGCAAGACAACACAGACAAACAAAACAGGAGCAUACCGGAGCAUAGCACUGAAUGUGAGCCCUGCCUGCCUGGAGCCCUCCUCAGAAGGAAGACUUUGCUGAUGACGCACUUUCCGGUGUCUUGACUCUCCCCACGUAGGAUAAUUCAGGUAUGGGCCACCACGAAAUCACUGAGCGGGGUAAUCAUGCAAAGGCCAGCAUGCCUCACUCAGGAAAAGAAAGGGACGCUGAUUUUUAGCUUGUUUAUAUAGCGUAGUGGUCAGUGUUCUUAUUUCAUGGUUAUCAUCUUAUUUUAUCCUCAGAACAGCCCUGUUGGAUAAGUAUUAUCACCC